GAUGAAGAACGUAGCGAAAUGCGAUAAGUAAUGUGAAUUGCAGAAUUCAGUGAAUCAUCGAAUCUUUGAACGCACCUUGCACCCUUUGGUAUUCCGAAGGGUAUGCUCGUUUGAGUGUCAUUGUACUCUCACACUUCUAAUUCCUUUCGGGAUUGGGAGCGGUGGACUUGGGUGUUGCUGCUUUAGUUGUGGCUCACCUCAGAUAAGUUAGUGCAACUCUUGGUUGGACAUAGUACGGCGUGAUAAGUGUCUUCGCCGGCGCCUCUGUAAGGAGGGUGGCCGAUCGGGAGCUCUGUGCUUCAAACCGUCUUCGGACAAUCUUUGACAACUUGACCUCAAAUCGAGUAGGACUACCCGCUGAACUUAAGCAUAUCAAUAAGCGGAGGA
rnacentral:misc_RNA from 1 species